rnacentral:rRNA from 1 species
GGUUAAGCGACUAAGCGUACACGGUGGAUGCCCUGGCAGUCAGAGGCGAUGAAGGACGUGCUAAUCUGCGAUAAGCGUCGGUGAGGUGAUAUGAACCGUUAUAACCGGCGAUUUCCGAAUGGGGAAACCCAGUGUGUUUCGACACACUAUCAUUAACUGAAUCCAUAGGUUAAUGAGGCGAACCGGGGGAACUGAAACAUCUAAGUACCCCGAGGAAAAGAAAUCAACCGAGAUUCCCCCAGUAGCGGCGAGCGAACGGGGAGGAGCCCAGAGCCUGAAUCAGUGUGUGUGUUAGUGGAAGCGUCUGGAAAGGCGCGCGAUACAGGGUGACAGCCCCGUACACAAAAAUGCACAUAUUGUGAGCUCGAUGAGUAGGGCGGGACACGUGGUAUCCUGUCUGAAUAUGGGGGGACCAUCCUCCAAGGCUAAAUACUCCUGACUGACCGAUAGUGAACCAGUACCGUGAGGGAAAGGCGAAAAGAACCCCGGCGAGGGGAGUGAAAAAGAACCUGAAACCGUGUACGUACAAGCAGUGGGAGCCUCUUAAUGGGGUGACUGCGUACCUUUUGUAUAAUGGGUCAGCGACUUAUAUUCUGUAGCAAGGUUAACCGAAUAGGGGAGCCGAAGGGAAACCGAGUCUUAACUGGGCGUUAAGUUGCAGGGUAUAGACCCGAAACCCGGUGAUCUAGCCAUGGGCAGGUUGAAGGUUGGGUAACACUAACUGGAGGACCGAACCGACUAAUGUUGAAAAAUUAGCGGAUGACUUGUGGCUGGGGGUGAAAGGCCAAUCAAACCGGGAGAUAGCUGGUUCUCCCCGAAAGCUAUUUAGGUAGCGCCUCGUGAAUUCAUCUCCGGGGGUAGAGCACUGUUUCGGCAAGGGGGUCAUCCCGACUUACCAACCCGAUGCAAACUGCGAAUACCGGAGAAUGUUAUCACGGGAGACACACGGCGGGUGCUAACGUCCGUCGUGAAGAGGGAAACAACCCAGACCGCCAGCUAAGGUCCCAAAGUCAUGGUUAAGUGGGAAACGAUGUGGGAAGGCCCAGACAGCCAGGAUGUUGGCUUAGAAGCAGCCAUCAUUUAAAGAAAGCGUAAUAGCUCACUGGUCGAGUCGGCCUGCGCGGAAGAUGUAACGGGGCUAAACCAUGCACCGAAGCUGCGGCAGCGACACUAUGUGUUGUUGGGUAGGGGAGCGUUCUGUAAGCCUGUGAAGGUGGCCUGUGAGGGUUGCUGGAGGUAUCAGAAGUGC